rnacentral:rRNA from 1 species
AGUGAACGCUGGCGGUAGGCCUAACACAUGCAAGUCGAACGGCAGCACAGGAGAGCUUGCUCUCUGGGUGGCGAGUGGCGGACGGGUGAGGAAUACAUCGGAAUCUACUCUGUCGUGGGGGAUAACGUAGGGAAACUUACGCUAAUACCGCAUACGACCUACGGGUGAAAGCAGGGGAUCGUCGGACCUUGCGCGAUUGAAUGAGCCGAUGUCGGAUUAGCUAGUUGGCGGGGUAAAGGCCCACCAAGGCGACGAUCCGUAGCUGGUCUGAGAGGAUGAACAGCCACACUGGAACUGAGACACGGUCCAGACUCCAAAGGGAGGCAGCAGUGGGGAAUAUUGGACAAUGGGCGCAAGCCUGAUCCAGCCAUACCGCGUGGGUGAAGAAGGCCUUCGGGUUGUAAAGCCCUUUUGUUGGGAAAGAAAUCCAGCUGGUUAAUACCCGGUUGGGAUGACGGUACCCAAAGAAUAAGCACCGGCUAACUUCGUGCCAGCCGCCGCCGUAA